rnacentral:rRNA from 1 species
CGGACGAACGCUGGCGGCGUGCCUAAUACAUGCAAGUCGAGCGAUCUUCUCGGGAGGUUAGCGGCGACGGGUGAGUAACACGUAGGCAACCUGCCUUCAAGAUCGGGAUAACAUGCGGAAACGGAUGCUAAGCCGAAUACGGCAGCGCUGUCGCAUGACGGCGCUGAGAAACACGGUGCAAGCUGUGGCUUGGAGAUGGGCCUGCGGCGCAUUAGCUAGUUGGUGGGGUAACGGCUCACCAAGGCGACGAUGCGUAGCCGACCUGAGAGGGUGAACGGCCACACUGGGACUGAGACACGGCCCAGACUCCUACGGGAGGCAGCAGUAGGGAAUCUUCCACAAUGGGCGCAAGCCUGAUGGAGCAACGCCGCGUGAGUGAGGAAGGCUUUCGGGUCGUAAAGCUCUGUUGCCAGGGAAGAAUAAGAGUGAGAGUAACUGCUCACUUGAUGACGGUACCUGAGAAGAAAGCCCCGGCUAACUACGUG